rnacentral:lncRNA from 1 species
GAAAAUUGAGCUGAAACAAGAGAUCGAUGCAAAAGUUAGAAGAAUUGAUCUUCAGAUUUACAAAUGAACCUGAAUUUGGUCGAAUUGGUAAAAAUUGCGUGAACUCAUGAAAUUGAUGUACGAUCUUAAAUCAGAAAUGAAUCGGAAGAACAGAACACAAUUGAGGUGGAAGAACACUGCCUCGCUCUGAUACCAUGUGAAGAACUGAAGCUAUGGGGAGCAGGCCGCAUUGGAGACGAUGCUCCAAGCUGAAGCAGAGAACAUUCUAGAUUGAUGAGAAGGAAAAAUGGAAAAUGCAAAGUGAUCUCUAUUGACUGUAUCAGAUACAAUAUAUACACACAUUACCAAUUCAUCAGUUAGUGGAAGCUCCAC